rnacentral:rRNA from 1 species
GAGUUUGAUUAUGGCUCAGGAUGAACGCUGGCGGCGUGCCUAACACAUGCAAGUCGAACGAAGCAUAUAGAAGGAAGUUUUCGGAUGGAAUUUUAUAUGACUUAGUGGCGGACGGGUGAGUAACGCGUGGAUAAUCUGCCUUACACAGCGGGAUAACAAGUGGAAACAGUUGCUAAUACCGCAUAAGCACACAGUAUCGCAUGAUACAGGGUGAAAAGAUUUAUCGGUGUAAGAUGAGUCCGCGUCCCAUUAGCUAGUUGGUGAGGUAAAAGCUUACCAAGGCGACGAUGGGUAGCCGGCCUGAGAGGGUGAACGGCCACAUUGGGACUGAGACACGGCCCAGACUCCUACGGGAGGCAGCAGUGGGGGAUAUUGCACAAUGGGCGAAAGCCUGAUGCAGCGACGCCGCGUGAAGGAUGAAGUAUUUCGGUAUGUAAACUUCUAUCAGCAGGGAAGGAAAUGA